AUGUAUUUUGAAGAUUCUACAGGACAGGUGACUGUAAUUCAGACUCCAACAGAGAAACAUGUUCAGAACGGACAAACAGUCACUCUGACCUGUAAAACCAGCAGCUCCAUUGGACGCCAGUCAGACGGUGACUGUAAGUCUUGUGUUUCCUGGUACCUACAGAAACUUGGAGAAACUCCUAAACUCUUAGUGUACUACAUUAAAUCCCUCCAGUCAGGAACUCCAUCUAGAUUUAGUGGAAAUGGAGCUGAUUAUGGAACUGAUUUCUCUCUGACCAUCAGCGGAGUCCAGACUGAAGAUACAGGAUAUUAUUUCGGUCAGAGUUACCACUGGAUCAACAAUAAACCUGUGUUCACACAAUGA